rnacentral:rRNA from 1 species
GACGAACGCUGGCGGCGUGCUUAACACAUGCAAGUCGAACGGAAAGGCCCUGCUUUUGUGGGGUGCUCGAGUGGCGGACGGGUGAGUAACACGUGAGUAACCUGCCCUUGACUUUGGGAUAACUUCAGGGAACUGGGGCUAAUACCGGAUAGGAGCUCCUGCUGCAUGGUGGGGGUUGGAAAGUUUCGGCGGUUGGGGAUGGACUCGCGGCUUAUCAGCUUGUUGGUGGGGUAGUGGCUUACCAAGGCUUUGACGGGUAGCCGGCCUGAGAGGGUGACCGGCCACAUUGGGACUGAGAUACGGCCCAGACUCCUACGGGAGGCAGCAGUGGGGAAUAUUGCACAAUGGGCGGAAGCCUGAUGCAGCAACGCCGCGUGCGGGAUGACGGCCUUCGGGUUGUAAACCGCUUUCGCCUGUGACGAAGCGUGAGUGACGGUAAUGGGUAAAGAAGCACCGGCUAACUACGUG